AGAGAAGAUUCCCUAUUUUAAGAUGAGAACACUUCAUCACUCUCGUUUCUAGAUCUCAUGUGGAAAUCCCAGCUGAGGAAUGAGGUGAGAGAGAGAGAGAGAUGAAUAUUAAGGGUGGUUGCUCCUCUCUUCUUGCCCAUGAUCUCCAACAACAUUAACAAAAGAAAUCAUGAACAACCCUUUUCUGCACACACACAGUCAUCUGAGUCGGAUCUCACUGCGUGUAAUUGCUGAAAGGGAUCGAGUUCAUGCAUUUCUUGUGUUUCCACCCUCGAUCAUACAUUCGAAUUUCCAAAUGUUUCCUUGUCCAUCAUAUACCAAAUCACCAGUAUUGUGUUUCAUGCGACCUCGAUCCAGUUUUGCAAGCUAGCCAAGGCUGUGACGAUGAGCUUCUUUGAGCUGGGGCGGGCGCUGAGAAUGAUCCGACCCGUAUCUUGGCGGGGCAACUGGUUGUUUGCAGCCAUGGCGGUGUCUCCUUCUCCGCCUGUAUUUUUUCCAGAUCUGAGCCUCUCUAUUUUUAAUUCCAUCGAGAAGGGAAAUAAAACCCUAAACUUCUCACUCUUCUGCUUCUUCACUCAUCUACUCUUCCAUUCUACUUGCGACCUAUGCACAAGCUCGGAUCUAUAUUUGUGUGUAAAAUCCUUCGAAACCGCAAAUUCAUCCGAUUGCUCCAGAAAUUUUCGCGAUCUAGUUGCAUGUGCCUUAAAUUCAUCGACACCAGCAGAAGCUGCGCAUAUGUUAUGGAUGCAGAAGAUCCAAGGGAUAAAUUAUUGAUUGCAAAACAGGAAAUGAGCAUUGAGAAUGAUCCGACCCGUAUGUUGGCGGGGCAAUUGGGUAUGAUUUGCAGCCAUGUCGGAGUCUCCAUCUCUAUGCUUGUUUUCAAUUUGAAGGAGAAGAAACGAGCCUAUUUCUAAUAGUAAAAACUUGUGUGCAACCGGUUGUACUGGUUUCAUCGGAUUCUUUUGAGCUUCUGCUAAUCUGGUGACUAUUAUUGUGUGUUUGGGGCACAAAAUUUGGAGCUUGACAUCUUUGGCAAUGGAGUGGGGAGGGGAGACCCGUAUCUUGGCUGGGGCGACCCGGAUGGCAUCUGGUUCCUCGACAGAUGCAACCGGUGUUUCUGCAGCCAUGGCGUGGUUGAACUCUCUUGCCUUGCCUCAGUUUCUCGAAGUCUGUUUAUAUGGCUAAAUUUUGAGCUUGUUUGGUUAUGGUGGCGUUUGGUUUGAGUGAUAAGACACAAUUGAUCAAUAAGUGAUCAAUAUGCCAUUGUUGUCCCUUGAAAGUCCGUGGAAAUGAUCUGUGGAUGAAGGGGCAAUGACGAUGAUGAUUUUAGAUGUAUUUGAUUUGAUGAUACUUGGGCAAAAGGAAUCCUUCCCCGUAUCUUGGCGGGGCAACCCGGAGUUGCAUAUGCAACCGGUGAUCUUGCAGUCAUGGCGUGGUUGGAUUCUGGUUCCCCAUCACACAUCUGAGCCUCAGUCCCUUGUGAAUUGUGAUAUUAAGGGAUUGAAACUUUGCGAUAUUCUAAGGCCCUUGAUAAGUUCUAUCAUCUGAGCUAAUUUUGCAUGAUUCGUAUUCCCAUUGAAAGGAGGAAAUACUCAAUCAUGCAUUUUAUCAAUCAUAAAAAGUAAAUGCCCCCUUAUUGUUUACCAUAUGAGCUACAUCUUGGACAGUAGGGGAUUAAUAUGCUGUUGUUGCCCCUCGAAAUUCUGGAAAUGAUCUGUUGAUGGAGGGGCAAUGACGAUGAUGAUUUUAGAUGUAUUGAUGAUACUUGGGCUAAAAGAAUCCUGUCCUGAUCUUGGCGGGGCAACCCGGAGUUGCAUAUGCAACCGGUGUGAUCUUGCAGCCAUGGCGUGGUUGGAUUCUGGUUCCCUAUCACACAUCUGAGCCCCAGUCCCUUAUUUAUUGGAGAAAUUGGAUAUGGCCUUUGAUUUGGAUACAGUGUACUAUGCUGUAUGAAUUGGUAUUCUCUCUCUCUCUCUCACACACACACACAUGUAUCCGAGGGGUUGUGACGAUGAAACUUGAUGUCUUGGCGGGGCAACCCGGAUGGCAUUCGGUAUAUGCAACCGGUGAUGGCUUGGCUAGCAUCUGUUUGACUCGUCACGUGCACCAAAUAUCUGAGCCAUAGUUGAUGGAAAAAUGGUUGAAAACAUUAGUCCUACUUGUAGCAUGGGGAAGUUCCACAAACCACAUCAUUUUGGUUAUGGUUUUGCUUCUUCAUCCAUCACAUACCAAUCUACUACUCCUUUCGAUUCCUGGGACCUUAAUUCAGUAACAAAGGCUGUGAUGAUGAGCUUAGAUGAGUUGGGUCAGGCAGUGAGAAUGAUCCGACCCGUAUCUUGGCGGGGCAACCGGGUGUGUUGCAGCCAUGGCGGCGUCUCCAUCUCCCUGCCUGUUUGUUUCUUGAUCUGAGCCAAGAAAAUGAGAAAUGAGGGGGUGGGAGGCUUAGGAUUUUCCUCAAGGGUUGCCCCUCCCUCUUCCCCCCAUGAUUGUCCAACCUAACAUUGGAAACAAAACCCUUGUGUGUCUUUGCAGCUGGCUGUUUCUUUCUGCAAAUAAUGAUAAUGAUAAUAAUAAUAAUAAUGUUAAGGAUGAGAAGGUGCGUGAAGGAGGUUUCAUCUGAGUUGAUCUUGUCGGAACAACCCGGAUGGCAUUUAUGCAACCGGUUGUUUUGAUGGAAUUGCUGCGGCGGCGGCGGUGGUAAUAUAUUUGAGCCUCUAUGGCUUAUUUAUUUAUUUAUUUAUUUUUGGAUCUUCGACAUCUUUGGCAAAUGGGGCAAUGACGAUGAAUGUUGGUAUGCUGGCGGGGCGACCCGGAUGGCAUCUGGUAUAUGCAACCGGUGGUUUUGCAGCCAUGGUAAAAUAUCUGAGCCUCAACUCAGUUCUCCUCCCUCACUACUCACAAUCACAAUACAUAUUUCUUUCAACUUCUCUUCUUUUUUCUCUCUCGGAUCAUUCUUUUUGUUUUUUUUUUCCCCUUUUUGUGUCAAGUAUACUUUAUAUCGGAAGUUUGUAUGCUUGUAAAAUUGGGAAUUUAGUAUUCCAUCUAGAUUUGUAAUUACAUCGUCGUUUUGUAUGCUUGUAAAUUUCGGAAUUUAAUAUUCCAUCUAAAAGAUUAUUUGAAGUUUA